UGCCAGACUCCUACGGGAGGCAGCAGUGGGGAAUAUUGCACAAUGGGGGAAACCCUGAUGCAGCGACGCCGCGUGGAGGAAGAAGGUCUUCGGAUUGUAAACUCCUGUCCUUGGGGACGAUAAUGACGGUACCCAAGGAGGAAGCACCGGCUAACUACGUGCCAGCAGCCGCGGUAAUACGUAGGUGGCAAGCGUUAUCCGGAUUUACUGGGUGUAAAGGGCGUGUAGGCGGGAAAGCAAGUCAGAUGUGAAAACCAUGGGCUCAACCUGUGGCCUGCAUUUGAAACUGUUUUUCUUGAGUACUGGAGAGGCAGACGGAAUUCCUAGUGUAGCGGUGAAAUGCGUAGAUAUUAGGAGGAACACCAGUGGCGAAGGCGGUCUGCUGGACAGCAACUGACGCUGAGGCGCGAAAGCGUGGGGAGCAAACAGGAUUAGAUACCCGAGUAC
rnacentral:rRNA from 1 species